rnacentral:tRNA from 1 species
UCCGCUGUGGUGUAAUAGGCAACACGCAACACUUUGGAUGUUGAGUUUCAGGUUCGAGCCCUGGCAGCGGAGCCA